GGGUGUAGCACAGUUUGGUAGUGCGCCUGGUUCGGGACCAGGAGGUCGUGGGUUCGAAUCCCGUCACU
rnacentral:tRNA from 1 species